UGGACAUGAUGACUGAUUUAUCUGAGAAAUAAUUGAUGAACCUCAAGAAAAUUCCUCUAGAUAGUCAAGUUCUGACCCAG
rnacentral:snoRNA from 12 species